rnacentral:rRNA from 1 species
UAUGAAGGGGGCUAGCGUUGCUCGGAAUCACUGGGCGUAAAGCGCACGUAGGCCGAUUGUUAAGUCAGGGGUGAAAUCCUGGAGCUCAACUCCAGAACUGCCCUUGAUACUGACGGUCUCGAGUCCGGGAGAGGUGAGUGGAACUGCGAGUGUAGAGGUGAAAUUCGUAGAUAUCAAGCGGAACACCGGUGGCGAAGGCGGCCUUCUGGACAGUGACUGACGCUGAGACGCGAAAGCGUGGGGAGCAAACAGG